GAUGAACGCUGGCGGCGUGCCUAAUACAUGCAAGUCGAGCGAACGGACGAGAAGCUUGCUUCUCUGAUGUUAGCGGCGGACGGGUGAGUAACACGUGGAUAACCUACCUAUAAGACUGGGAUAACUUCGGGAAACCGGAGCUAAUACCGGAUAAUAUUUUGAACCGCAUGGUUCAAAAGUGAAAGACGGUCUUGCUGUCACUUAUAGAUGGAUCCGCGCUGCAUUAGCUAGUUGGUAAGGUAACGGCUUACCAAGGCAACGAUGCAUAGCCGACCUGAGAGGGUGAUCGGCCACACUGGAACUGAGACACGGUCCAGACUCCUACGGGAGGCAGCAGUAGGGAAUCUUCCGCAAUGGGCGAAAGCAUGACGGAGCAACGCCGCGUGAGUGAUGAAGGUCUUCGGAUCGUAAAACUCUGUUAUUAGGGAAGAACAUAUGUGUAAGUAACUGUGCACAUCUUGACGGUACCUAAUAAGAAAGCCACGGCUAACUACGUG
rnacentral:rRNA from 1 species